rnacentral:rRNA from 1 species
CAGCGCCACGAGUGGGAAUCAUGUUUAUUUGGCCUAAAGCGUCCGUAGCCGGCAGAGUAAAUCUUUUGUGAAAUCAUCGGGCUUAACCUGAUGGCGUGCAGAAGACACUGCUGUGCUUGGAACCGGGAGGAGUCAGAAGUAUGGGAUGGGGAGCGGUAAAAUGCGAUAAUCCAUCCUAGACUACCUGUGGCGAAGGCGUCUGACUAGAACGGAUUCGACGGUGAGGGACGAAAGCCAGGGGAGCGAUCCGGAUUAGAUACCCGAGUAGUCC